rnacentral:rRNA from 1 species
AACGAACGCUGGCGGCAUGCCUAACACAUGCAAGUCGAACGAGACCUUCGGGUCUAGUGGCGCACGGGUGCGUAACGCGUGGGAAUCUGCCCUUGGGUUCGGAAUAACAGUGAGAAAUUACUGCUAAUACCGGAUGAUGACUUCGGUCCAAAGAUUUAUCGCCCAGGGAUGAGCCCGCGUAGGAUUAGGUAGUUGGUGGGGUAACGGCCUACCAAGCCGACGAUCCUUAGCUGGUCUGAGAGGAUGAUCAGCCACACUGGGACUGAGACACGGCCCAGACUCCUACGGGAGGCAGCAGUGGGGAAUAUUGGACAAUGGGCGAAAGCCUGAUCCAGCAAUGCCGCGUGAGUGAUGAAGGCCUUAGGGUUGUAAAGCUCUUUUACCAGGGAUGAUAAUGACAGUACCUGGAGAAUAAGCUCCGGCUAACUCCGUGCCAGCCGCCGCCGUAACAC